GAAAGUCCGGGCCUCACAGAGCAGGAUAACGGCUAACGGCCGCCGAGGGCAACCUUAGGGAAAGUGCAACAGAGAUAUACCGCCUGCUUCACGCAGGUAAGGGUGGAAAGGCGAGGUAAGAGCUCACCGGCCGGCGGGGAACCGACCGGCCCUGUAAACCCUAUCCGAGGCAACACCGACGGGAGAAGCUUGCUCGGCUGAUUCUCCGACGGGUGGCUGGAGCCUUGCGGCAACGCAAGGCGUAGAUAGAUAGCUGCCUUCAAUGACAGAACCCGGCUUACAGAUUCGCUU
rnacentral:RNase_P_RNA from 1 species